rnacentral:rRNA from 1 species
UACAGAGGUCCCCAAGCGUUUGUUCGGAUUUACUGGGCGUAAAGGGCGCGUAGGCGGCGUAACAAGUCACUUGUGAAAUCUCCGGGCUUGACUCGGAGCGGUCAAGUGAUACUGUUGUGCUAGAGUGCGGAAGGGGGCUACUGGAAUUCUCGGUGUAGCGGUGAAAUGCGUAGAUAUCGAGAGGAACACCGGUGGCGAAGGCGGUUCUCUGGGCCUUACCUGACGCUGAGGAGCGAAAGCGUGGGGAGCGAACAGG